UUUGUUCUAACAAUUUUUUUUCAUUUACUUUUGAACACAAGAUAGAAUAUCAUAUAUAAAAUUGAAUUGAGUUAUUUACCAAAAUUACAUUAUUUGCAUUACAUUACAACUGGGUUUUUUUGUUACAUUGAAAUUCACUACACAAAGCCCUCCAAUAUGCAUACAUACUUCAUACAUCCAGAAAUAAAUUUAUACAUUAAUUAAAAAUUACAAAAAAGAUAAUUAAAAAAUAAGAAAAAAGAAGAAAGUUAAGUUUGUUUUGGGCUCCACAUGAGCCUCAUGAUGGCUCUCAACUUCACCAUCCCAACACUAUUUAUCACAUGCCAUCAACCCUGCAUACAUCAAAACCAAAUGAAAAAAAAGGUAAGCAUUACACGAGCUUUUCAUUCAAGCAACACAACUCAUCAUAGAAUCACCAUAACAUAAAUACCAACAUACAUCAAAUGACACAAAUGAAUUAAAAUGAAGUGGAAAAACAUGUGCCCCCUCCAAAGCAUAUCAUCCCACAUACAUCAUCUUCAUCAUAAUACAUCAAUUUACAUACAAAUCAAGUUUAAAAUGAAAAUAAAAAAGAGAAAUAAGGUAGAGUCAAGGAAAAUCAUGUGCACUCAGUAUGCCCACAUACAUCAUCUCAUCACUAUCAUUAAAGAAUCCAUCAAAAACACACGAGGAUUCCUCACUAAACUCACAUAAUUCAUCACACUCAUUCAUUCACGUUUUCACUCAACUCUCCAUAAUUUCCUCAUACUCACACGAAUCACCAAAGAUUCCCCAAAAAAAUCAUCAUAACAAACUUCAUUUCCCUCCUAAAAAACUCACAAGUUUCAUCCCUCAAUUCACUCUAUCACACCUAUAAGUAGAGCAUAAACAUCACUCUUAAAACACAAGAAAAUACCCUAGCAGAGCCAUGCUAAAAACGUACUUGGCCCUCACCAAAGCUAUUCAACCUAAAGCCUCUAAAGUUCAACAUCUGAACUUGAGUAAGGCUUGAGCUCUAAACCCUUCACCAUAUCACAAAGUAACCUUGCACAAAGCAGAAGAAAGAGGAGAGGAAGGAAGUAUCAUAAACAAACAGAAACAGAAAGAAGGAACUGAUAGAGUUUACCCGAGGUUGGUCGCCGAAGUCUCACCGAAGUUUAAACCAUUGGCGAGGUCUUCUUAUUCACUUUCCUUUUGUUUUUCCUGCAUAUUAACGUUGUUUUAUCUAUUGCUGUAUGUUAUGUGUAAUUUGGACAUACAGAAUUAAGGGGUUAAGUUAAAUUUAGGGAUGAGCCCUAUCUGGGCUCAUAGUUGCUUAUUUGGUUAUUUUGACGAUGGAUUCUUGAUCAAGGACUAUUUUUAGGCUAGGGUUUUAUUUUUCAUUUUGGAUUUGGACAAUUUUCGUGAAAUCUGAGUUUCAAGUAUGAACAUCUUCAUGAUGUUCAUGCUUGUUCUAAGACAACCACUAUGGUUGAUCUUGGUUUGGUGGAAAGAGAAGCAAGAAAUGUGUUAGUGUGGUGGGGCAGGUUAGAGGUAGAGAGAGAGAGUAGGUCAGAGUAGAGAGAGAAGGAAGUUGAAAAAUGAAUCCCACGUGAGGUCUCCCUCACUUUUACCUCUCUCACAUCUGAACCCUUUCCAACACAUGGUGGCUUUGGAACCAUGAGAUUCGUUGACCGCUCAUCAUUGAAAAGGGUUUCUGUAGUAGACCUUCAUCAUAGCCUUCACGCGCAUGCGUUUCCUUGACCUUCAUAUUUAUGUGGCUUUCAUCCAAGGGACAAGGUUGAGUUAACGUUAUUGACUCCUCUGAUCCUUUGACUUGGACGAGCGCCCUGCUUUGGGCUUUCACGUUCGGCCACUGCUAGGCGCACCCCUUCCUGGUCCAUUUUUGCUUGCAAUCUUUUUUUAUUAUUUUAUUUUAUAAUUUUGGAUCUUGGGCCUUUGGCAUAUUUGUGCUUAUCUAUGUUUACUAGCAGCAUACCCCAUACCAUUUUUAUGCACCCCCAUUUCUAUUAUUAUUUUCAUGUCAUUUUUAUUUAUUUAUUGUUCUUUUAUUUUAUUUAAUAAUAAACAUUACUUCAAUAAUAAUAAAAUCAAUUACAUUUGUAACAAAAAUCUUGAUCCAACGUCAAGAAUUUUUUUAAAAAUCAAAUUCAACGCAUUCUCAAAUACGACUCAAAGCGUUUAAUCGAUAUCAAACUUCUUUUCAAACUCAAACCCUUAGUCAAAUCUUUUUCUCAAGUAAACCCAAUGAAAAGGGUUAAUUGAGUGUAUACAUGUUUUCUCCUCAAGUAUUAGGUCACUGGAUGUAGAGCUCACUGUUUGAAGACUCGUCAUCCGCAUUAAAAGAUAAUAAUUAACCGAAUUUGGUUUGAUCUUUUAUAGAAGAAAAAUGAUUAAUUGGGUGUAGAUCUCUUUCUUCCCCGAGUAUUUAGACACUGGCUGUAGAGCUCGCUGUGCAAAUACUCAUCUUUCGUUAAAGAACCAUUACUCAAUUUGAUUCACAUAUUUUAAAAUAAAUU
rnacentral:lncRNA from 1 species